rnacentral:rRNA from 1 species
UUUAGUGACGAUAGCAGAGGUCACACUCGUUCCCAUACCGAAGACACGAUCGUUAAGCUUUUCAGCGCCGAUGGUAGUUGGGGGUUUCCCCCUGUGAGAGUAGGACGUUGCUAAAC